GGUGUUCAGACACAUUUAGCUACUAAAUUACUCGGUACUCGACUAAAAUACUCGUCUAGUCCGAACUAAGCUUAAGGAAUUGUUUGAAAUGAUCCCGCCAUCUCUAUUGUACCAUCACCUCGCCUGCCAUCGGAGCAUAGUUCAUCCAUAUAACCGCGAUACCGCUGCGUUCAUCCACAGUGCGUUUUCAGAGAUCUUUUCUGUCACGUACUACCCGGCUAUGGAACGAACUUCCCUCCUAGGUCUUUGUCAUAAGCCCGAUGUCGAUACAGAAGCGAUUUCAUCAUCCAUCUGCGUAAUUUCAACCGUCCCAGCUGCAGAUGUACUGGCACCGUCGUUGAUCCACUCGGCCGCACUCAUUACUUUACGUUGCCGGCACUGCUUGACUCGAUCAUAUGGUGUUUUAUUGGUACCAUUCGAUUGCUGUUGAGAUGCCCUUUCCAACCGUAUACGAUCUCUGUAUUUCGAUUUGGCUUUUCGACGCGUAUAGGCCGACAUUAUAUAUUUUUUGAUAUUAUUUUUUUAUCUUAACACCUUAUUAUAUUCACAGUUACAAUUUUACACUAAUGUUAUAUAUAUAAACGAUAGAUUUUGAUUAUGAUUGAAACCUGAAUGAACGUCGUAGCUUCACCGAGUCGAAAGUUAUACUAAAUGGAAAUCUCGAUACGCAGCAAAAUGACCUUCAAAAUGGCGGGGCUGCUCCCUCCCCCGCGCGCGAUAUGUUACAGUCCUUACUUAGCGUAAUAAAUUCUUUGAUUCUUUAGCUAUCCAGUGGUGUAACUGAAAUUUGGAUGGAGAUGAUAGAUAUGUAGCUACAACACUUAAACUGUAUCCCCCGAUUUUGUUAUCAUUCGUUUUUUUGGAUUGCCUCCCUAUGGAAAUAAUUUUAAAGACGUAUUCACGUCAAAAAGGUAUAUUAUUAUGACACGUGUGAUAUGGUGAUUACGAAUAAGGCUUCACCAAAUAGACUAAAAGUUGAGUAUUACUUUCAUAUAAAUGUAAAAGCCAAAUAAAACGCUAUUUUCGAAAACAA